rnacentral:rRNA from 1 species
CAGCAGUAGGGAAUCUUCGGCAAUGGACGGAAGUCUGACCGAGCAACGCCGCGUGAGUGAAGAAGGUUUUCGGAUCGUAAAGCUCUGUUGUAAGAGAAGAACGAGUGUGAGAGUGGAAAGUUCACACUGUGACGGUAUCUUACCAGAAAGGGACGGCUAACUACGUGCCAGCAGCCGCGGUAAUACGUAGGUCCCGAGCGUUGUCCGGAUUUAUUGGGCGUAAAGCGAGCGCAGGCGGUUAGAUAAGUCUGAAGUUAAAGGCUGUGGCUUAACCAUAGUACGCUUUGGAAACUGUUUAACUUGAGUGCAAGAGGGGAGAGUGGAAUUCCAUGUGUAGCGGUGAAAUGCGUAGAUAUAUGGAGGAACACCGGUGGCGAAAGCGGCUCUCUGGCUUGUAACUGACGCUGAGGCUCGAAAGCGUGGGGAGCAAACAGGAUUAGA